rnacentral:rRNA from 1 species
GACGAACGCUGGCGGCGUGCUUAACACAUGCAAGUCGAACGGUAAGGCCCUUCGGGGUACACGAGUGGCGAACGGGUGAGUAACACGUGGGUGAUCUGCCCUGCACUUCGGGAUAAGCCUGGGAAACUGGGUCUAAUACCGGAUAGGACCACUGCCUGCAUGGGUGGUGGUGGAAAGCUUUUGCGGUGUGGGAUGGGCCCGCGGCCUAUCAGCUUGUUGGUGGGGUGAUGGCCUACCAAGGCGACGACGGGUAGCCGGCCUGAGAGGGUGACCGGCCACACUGGGACUGAGAUACUGCCCAGACUCCUACGGGAGGCAGCAGUGGGGAAUAUUGCACAAUGGGCGCAAGCCUGAUGCAGCGACGCCGCGUGAGGGAUGACGGCCUUCGGGUUGUAAACCUCUUUCAGCACCGACGAAGCGCAAGUGACGGUAGGUGCAGAAGAAGGACCGACCAACUACGUGCCAGCCGCCGCGGUAA